rnacentral:rRNA from 1 species
UGAGUUUGAUCAUGGCUCAGGACGAACGCUGGCGGCGUGCCUAACACAUGCAAGUCGAACGGAGUAAGAGAGAAGCUUGCUUAGCUCUUACUUAGUGGCGGACGGGUGAGUAACGCGUGAGUAACCUGCCUUUCAGAGGGGGAUAACGUUCUGAAAAGAACGCUAAUACCGCAUGAUAUAUUGGGGUCGCAUGGCCUUGAUAUCAAAGGAGCAAUCCGCUGAAAGAUGGACUCGCGUCCGAUUAGCCAGUUGGCGGGGUAAAGGCCCACCAAAGCGACGAUCGGUAGCCGGGUUGAGAGACUGAACGGCCACAUUGGGACUGAGACACGGCCCAGACUCCUACGGGAGGCAGCAGUGGGGGAUAUUGCACAAUGGAGGAAACUCUGAUGAAGCAAUGCCGCGUGAGGGAAGACGGUCUUCGGAUUGUAAACCUCUGUCCUUGGUGAAGAUAAUGACGGUAGCCAAGGAGGAAGCUCCGGCUAACUACGUGCCAGCAGCCGCGGUAAUACGUAGGGAGCAAGCGUUGUCCGGAUUUACUGG